AUGUACAACAUGCACUUAAAGCUGUAUCCUGCUUAACAAGCAAUGGAGGAUCUGAAAAGAAACUUCUAAUUACCAUCCUUUCAUUGUGAUGCCUUAUAUAUGCAUGGAUUAAUCUCUCAAACUGGAUUUCCACAGAGAUAACUUCAUCUUCAGUGAGUAAUAUUUGAUCACAGGCCAGCAGCUGUUGGACAGAAGGAAUUUCACAUCACCAUUUGGUAACCAGGAAAAUGUUCUGGAGAAGCCAUGUGAGGUAAGAAUGUACUGUACAUUUUCUUGACAUUGGGGUAAAGCAAAAUAAUAUUUUGAGGCAAAAUACAUUUAGAUGAGGAAUGAAUAUACAGUACCAGUUUUGUCCGACCAAUCCUUUUUUAAUCUUUCAUCAUAUGUUUAUUGUGUAUUUUACGUUUAUUCUCUUAAGUCUAAUAAAAUAUUUAUUCUUUCCUUAAUGAGAUAAAUGGCUGAUCUAUAUGUAUAUCUGUAUGUAGAUAGACAGAUAGAUAGACAGACAGACAGGAUGUUAUUUUAUAUUAUGUAAUGUUAUAUUUUAAUUCCAUGACUCACAUUGGCCUAUCUGUUUUCCCUAGAUCUAAAACAUAAGCUUUAUUGCUAACAAAGCAUUGUGUUAAGGUUUUCUUGUAUAAAUGUGCUAUAUUUGUCACCGCCUCUUCUGUUAGCAGGCUAUUCUUUGCAUCCACAACUCUUUAACUCUUCAAGUAUGUCGUGGGGAGUAUAUACAAAUGCGUUGCUAUGCCAAUGAUAUGAGACAUGUAUAGUGUGGCAGUAUAGAUUAUAUACAUUUAAUCAGUAAUGAUUUGAAGAUAGAUGGCUGGAUUCUUAGGCCUGGUGGCAGUGUGUAUUUAAAGCUUUUAGCUUGUAUGAUAUUCAGUGCAGUUCAUGGUACGGCAUCACUUCAUAAUUUAGAGUAUGAGACAAUAUAACAUUUGGCGUUGUUCAUAAAUGUUUUUUUAACACUCUGGGAAUCGACAGAUUUGGAUGUCAAUUUCUCCAUUCAAAAUGUCAAUUUCCAAUUAGGAGAACUCUCAAUGUGGAAAACAGAUAGAGCUCCGAAUGAUGCAGAGAAAAUGCGAAGAGAGAAACAGGGAGUGAUUGGUAUUGAUGUUUGUUGAGACAGAAUUACUCUGUUAAGCGGGUGGAUAAAAACAAUUAACUUUUCUGCCAAAUCAACUGUGUUGUGCUCUCAUGCUAAUACUAAUUGUUCCCAAGUUUUUUUAAGAACACUGUAUGCAGAGCUGGGUUGAUGAUGGAGUUUUGCAAUGACCUGUAAAUAUAGCCUUGGGCUUUUAAGAUUUUCAUUUUCACACAUGAAUGCACCAGUAAGAAACUGCUGCAAGUCUUUGGUUACUUUUCAUUACAUAACUCCUAGUUCAGGUGUUUUUGCCUUUGUUCACUGCAUUCAUCCAAAACCAUCAUUUUAAAGAUUGCUUUUCCUAUUUUUUUUUUUUUUUUUAAUACUGAUUAAAUGUUAAAUUCCAAACACUCUAUUAGUUUAUCAUUACAGACAGGGUCUGGCAUUUGUGAUAGCUAAUAAUUGAUGAUCCUUGUAACACUGCAGUAUCCGCUCUGUUCCUUAUUGAUGUUUAAUCCCCCGGGGAAAAUGUAUUUGCAAUAUAUGGUGUUUCACAGAUCUUACAUGAUUAAAAUCUUGUAUGGCUAACAAUAAAUGCAUGAACGGUAUUACGCGUAUGAUGUGUGAUUUCAUACAUUUUAUAAUUUUAAAAAAUCAACAUAGGAGUAUGCAUUUUGUAUUCGGAAGGGAUGGCUUUGCUUUUAUUGUUUUUUUUAUUUUUACACGUCCAUAUAAAAUGCAUAAAAAUGUUUAUUAUAACGCUUGUUUAUUCCACUGGGUUAUUUGCAAGUGAAUUACAAACCAAAAUUGAUAAAGAUAGGCCAUUAUUCUUUUCACAGCUCACUGUGUUUACUUUUACAACUACUAUUCCAUUCUCACUUCAAACUGACCCACACUAACAUCACAAUUUAUAAUUAACUGGGUAUCUGUGAAAUGCUUAGGAUGCCAUUAACAGUCCAUUUCCAUCUUAGCAGUUGAACAACAGAGUUUAUAUUUUCUUGACUUAUCAAGAAUGCUUGUAAAUAAUGGCAGCAAAGAUUCCAUAUCAUUAGUGGGUAUGCUUGAAAUUCAACAAGGUUUUUCCCAGUAACAAGGUCACAAAGGCUUUCCUGAUACUAAAAAAGAUUACAAGUGUGUUAUCAUAAUGAAUCAUGGCACUGGUGACAAAGAUACUAAAGAAAGUGUUUUUCCUUUUUCUCCUAGGCUGACUGGAAUUACUUUGACUUUGCUAAUAUUUCCUUUAAUAAAAGGUAAUAGCAUUUUUGUUUUAUAUAAUAGACUCUAUUUUCUGUUAACGCAUUUUAGAAGCUUACUUGUUUUUCAUUUACAGGAAGUAUAAAAGAGAAUAUUGACGCUUUUCAAAGCAGGAGGUUAAAUUCGACUACAGAAUAUCCACCUAUAAACAACAGCAUGGGAAUUGAGG